rnacentral:lncRNA from 1 species
UUGGGGGCGUGGCUCUCUGUAUUUCUAUCCUGCGGUCGUUACUAAAGUUGGUAUAACUAGAGAAGGAAGCGGUCGACAACAUUCAUCUCUGGAGGGGGGGUCUAACUCGGUGUUUGAAGUUGAGUUUUUCAGUCUCAUCAGUUAUAAAAGAAGCUGAAUGUGGGAGAGCUAUUUCUAAAUGUUGGUUCAUCUUAUCUCGGGAACACAAGUCAGUGACUGCACCAGGAUCUGUUUGGUUUGGCAUUUAACUAAAUGAGGAUGACUGAUCGGAUUAAUAAUUCAUCUGGUUUGGGCAAAAAUAUACAGAGAAAAAAAAUGUUGUGGCAGGAUUAUCGAUUUAGGAGGGAAAUACCAAAAUAAACAGGUGAAGGUUUAGAAAACUCAGAUUACCCCAUUAUUCCUGCGAUAUGAUUAUUACCUGCAUUUCCCACAGGGCGUGUGCUUCAUCCAACCCUAGUUUCCUAUUGGCUAAGAGAUGUUUUUGGGGUCCAAAGUCUGUCAUUGGUAGACUUUGACUUUAUCCCUGCCCUGUAAACUGACGACAUCAGCGCAGGAUCUGAAGAGGCUUGAAUUUGGAUCGUCCCUUAAACUCAACGUGAGUCUCAUUUCUUAUUUUUAGAAAAACAAGUGAGAGAAAGAUGUGUGUGUGCAGCAUGUUGUCAGGUGUAAAACCAAAGUCCGAAGGAGGACAAAGCCAAAAAAAACCAAACAGAACCCUGUUGCCACAUAGAGUGUCUGAUGAGGGUGGGGGCAGGAACUCCCUGGUCCGGCUAAACCCCACCUGCCAACAACCUGCAACAAAACAAGAAAAAACAGGAAAAAGGAAGAGGCAGCAAGUCCUGACUAGGCCUUACCCCAAAUUUCCACCGUGUCCUGAACAGCGGCUGCCAAUUCCAGGCGGGUCUGUUUGUGAGGCAGGAUAUGACCUUUUGUAGCCGAUCUGGACGCGGGGGAAACUGGGGGUAACCCGAUCGUAGCUGAUCGUAACCAUUCAAGUUAACGUGUCAAUUUACACCGACUUCUUUCCGUUCCUCUGCGGAUCGCCGGACUCCUCAGCUGAUCACAAGAGUUCUAUUUUUUCUGGACGCCGGAGCAUGGCGGAUAAAUUCAGCACAGAUUAACCCGUGCUGGAAAGGAAGUCGGGCACAGACACAAAAUAAAACAUCCGGCUUCUUUUCAAAAUAAAACACUCCGUGUUUCAGGAGGAUCGUAUUUCACACCAUGCAAACGGGCGGAGACGAACAAGUGAAAGGUUUUUAGACGUCAUUUCACCCCGAUGACACCAUGGAUGAGGAGAUGCUGAUUCUAGAAGUCUAGAAGUAGAUUUCCUCCUCUGGAAGGACACAAUCUACUGCUUAUAUGUCUAUGUGUCUGUCUUUAGAGAGACAACUCGUUAUCACGUGAUUGCAUGUGAAUCUGCGGGUUCUUGUGAGUUCUCGUGAUUCCUACUGUCAGUAAUCCGCCACGAAAUUCGCCUCAAAAACGGAUCCGGUGCUUGGGUUAGUCUACAUUGCAGACUUGGUCCCAUCUGCAGAAAUUGUGGCAACCCCCCAAAAAAUACUGAAAUAUCCCUUUAAACUUUGUAGUGAAAUCAGUUUCAUUCUUUCAUUCAACUUUUUUGCUGUUUUUACUGAUAAAUUAAAAUGUCUUUAUUUGGAUCAACUCAGUGUGUGAAUUUGUAAUGAAGUACUUUUCCGUCUACGAGCAGAUGUCCUCUCAGGUCCAACUGAAGCUGCUGCCCAGUGCCAGGUGUUUGUUUGAUGACCCCGUCCAGGUGAAGGUGGCCGGACUGAGGUCCAGACAGGUGGUCACCAUGAGAGCCAGAUCUACUGACGACAAAGGAGUGGUCUUCAGCUCCUCGGCGACCUACAGAGCGGACAGAAACGGGGAGUAUAAAAACCACAAAAUAAAAAGAUGCUUCUUUAACAGAUUCCUGUCUACUUCACCUUUAAGUCGGUUUUCUUCUCGUGGACCAGACUUCUUUCCUUAGACUAGAGAUCAGCUGGACUCUGUCACAUGAACACUGAGUUCUUGUUGCUGAUGUGGAUCUGUGUGAGUCUGAGUGUGUUUGUUUUUUGCUGCCAUUCUUGAAAAAGAGAUUGAUGAUCUCAACAGGACUAGUCUGGUUACAUCAAAUCAAAAAGACACACAACCUCCUCCUGUCUUUGUCCUCUACAGAAAACCUGAUCCAGCUGCAGGACUCACAUCUGGGACAUGUAAGACCACAUGGAUCCAUGACCCAGACGGAGCGGUAACAUGACAUCCAGCAGAAACAGACACAAUAAAGACAAACAGACGAGGUGAUUUCAGUGACUCAGUUUGAGGAUUUUUAUGAUUUUUUUACCCACAAUCAGAGACUUGACCACAAUCUGAGCUGAGUCAGAAACAUCCAAACAGUCGGACUAAUAAAUGUGAUUAUUAUUAUUAGAGUGAUUGAAAAGCUCAUAACAACAUGUAGAUCUGUCCAAAGUCUGAUUCUAGAUGUCUUUACAAACACACUGAUCCAACAGAAGCAGACAGAAAUAUCCAUCGAUCACAUGAACACAAAUAUUCAGCAAACAGAGAAAGAAACAGAUCAUCUGAAGAGUUUUUGGGGACGACUGGAAAGACUUUAGACGCUUGGAUUUGGGACAGGAAAUAAGGUCGUCCUUUUUCUGUGAUUUUGACCUCACUUUUUUCUAAAGUCUCAGACCUUCAACAUCUGCACCAACUGAAGGUGAUUUGAACAAACCAUCAUCUUGAUGUUGUUGAUAUCAAACUGUAUGAAGAUUUUUCAACAUGAGAAAUACAAACAAUCAAAGUUCUCCACAAUCACUGUCCUUAAAGCUGCGACCAAAUCAGCAUCUUUAGAAAAGAAUCAAAAAGCUGAAAUGAAGAACUAAACCCAGAGUUUUUGGUGAGACUGAUCCACAAACAUUUACAAACCAGAACAUUUCAAGAGUUCAAGGAUCUCAGUCCAUGAUUUUGGUCUGAUGGACUCAAAAUUCUCUUUAUUUCAGUUUAAUAAACCCAGCAGAGGCUCCAACAGACCAGUCAAACUUCAGUCCAGCAUGUAGAGGUUCAGUGAAUGUGGUCUGGACUCUGUGGAGGAGAGUCAUGGUUUUAGAGACGCUGUAGAAGGACAGAAUACCUGCGCUGUGAUCCAGGUACACUCCUACUCUGGAGGACUGAGGACCUGAGACAUCAGUGAAGACUUUGUUGUGACCAAAUCUAUACCUGUCUUUAUCACACUCUAACCUCCAAGAUUUGUCAUUUCCUCCAAAGUAACAAUCCUCUGACCACCCGUCUCUCCUGAUAGUCUUGUAUGCGACUGCUACACCAACCCAGGUCCCUCUCCAGUCCACCUCCCAGUAACAACGUCCAGUCAGACUCUCUCUACUCAGGACCUGAGGAUAAUAAGUGAAUCUGUCUGGAUGAUCAGGAUAAGACUCUUCUUCUUCUUCUUCUUCUGUCUUUGUUGCUCUUCUGUUUCCAUCAGAUAAUCUCAGUCGUCUGUUCGCUGUGUUUGGAUCCAGUGUGAUUCUUUGUGAAUAUCUUAAGAAACCAGCUCUGGUCUUGGGUUCUGCUGGUCCUGGUGGUUCUAACAGUAAAACAUCCACUUCAGUCACGGCCUGUGAGACGUUUGUCCACGUCUCUGUCAGAAGAUCCUGGAGUUUCUCUCUGAGCUCUGACACAGCUGCUGUCACCUCCUCAAAGUAUCUCAGAGGUCGGAUGUUGAUUCUGGAUGAGUCUGCAGGUUGACCCGGUUCUGACAGUGAGGGGUAGCUGUGCAGAAACUGGUUGUGGUCCUCUGUGAGUGAGAGCUUCUGCAGAUCAGCGUCUUUCCUCUUCAGCUCAGUGAUCUCCUGCUCCAUCUUCUCCUGAAGCUCUUUGACUCGACUCACUUCACGUUCCUGCUGGGAUCUGACCUGCUGCUCCACCUCAGAGCGGCGUUUCUCCAUCAGACGGAUCAGCUGGCUGAAGAUCUCCUGGCUGUGGUCCACAGCUUUAUCAGCAGAGCCGUUGAUAGCCUCCACCUCCUGUUGGAGCAGCUUCACAUCUUCUUCUCUGUCCUGGAUUCUCUGCUGGAUGUUUUCUCGACUCUCCUCCAGAUCUUUCUGCCUCUCAGUCCUUUCUGCUGCAGCUGAGACUGUGUCGUGACCUUUGUGUUGGUCCAAACGGCAGAGAUGACAGAUGGACUUCUGAUCAGUGCGGCAGAAGAUCUUCAUCACCUCAUCAUGACGAGAGCAGAUGUUCUCCUGGAGCGUCUUGGAGGGCUCCACCAGCUUGUGUUUCUUAAAUGAAGGAGAUUCAAAAUGAGGCUGGAGGUGAAUCUGACAGUAAGAAACCAGACAUUGAAGACAGGACUUGACAGCUUUCAGUUUUCUCCCACUGCAGACGUCACAGGCCACAUCUUCAGGUCCAGCCUCAGAGGAACCAUCAGGAGCAGCUUGGAGUCCGCUCUUCUUCACUUCCUCCACUAAAACUGCUAACAUGGUGUUUUUCUUCAGGACAGGCCUCGGUAUGAAGGUCUCUCUGCACUGAGGACAGCUGUAGAUCAUCCUCUCAUCCUCAGUAUCCCAGUAGGAUUGAAUACAGCUCAUGCAGAAGCUGUGUCCACAGGAGACAGUCACCGGAUCCUUCAGAAGAUCCAAACAGAUGGAACAAGAGAAAGACUCACAGUCCAGAUGAACUCCUUUCUGCGCCAUUUCAACACUCGCUGUCGACGACGACUGACUGAGUUUUAUUUCCUGAGAAGUGAAACUAGUCUGAGCUCUGAUCUCAACAACAUGUGAGUCAACAGGAUAUGACCUCAGCACACGGAGGUUACACCCAACCAAGACUGUAGAUCUGAAGGGGAGGGAGGAAGGAAGGGGAGGGAACAAGGAAGUGAGAGUGCAGAGUGGAGUGAGCUGAGAGAGACGAGGGAGGGGGGGAUCCAGUUUGUCUACAAUCCAGGACGAGGAGCGUCUCUGUGAACUUUAGACUCUCAAACUCCAACAAGCAGAAGUUCUUAAAGCUGCAGCCGUCCUGAAGAUCAACUGAACCAACAUUUAUUCACCUCAUAGAAACCUCAUCGAGCAGAAACACACUUCAACUGUUUUAGAGCCACAGAGUUAAAGAGACAACACAGAGAAACACUCUCUCUCUCUCUCUCUCUCUCUCUCUCUCUCUCUCUCUCUCCUCAAGCCCCGCCCACUAACAGACGCUCCUGCUCGCUCGUAUCGUUCCAGUUAAAUUCAGAUAUAAUGCAGAUAAAUACUUCAGAUCAUUACAAAUGGGGCCCAGUCAAGGUGAAAGUCAAAAGCAUUGGUGCUACUGUAGAUGCCAACAGACUACCAGCAAACACAAUGUUUGCAGGACUUCUACAACGAGGAUAAAGUGACAUAGUCCAGGACCCGAGGGAGGACAGUUUAGCGAUGGCGCUACAACACGCUACAGCAGGUCCGUUUGACAAGAAACACUUCUGUUACAGACACUUGUCUUACUUUGUUAAAGCGGUUUACCUGUCCAGCAGAAAGGUUACAGGGUCACCAAGAUCCCCAAGCGUCCCCCAUCGUUUAUGUUGACCCGGCUUUUUAGCUCUUGUCCGGUCUACCUCCGUUUUAAGCGCCCGUUAUUCCUCCAGAGUCUCCGGUAUUUACUUUGUUUUCUUGCUUGUGUCGGCAGUCGUGGCCAAAGGAGGAUUCAGACAAUUUUCCGAACUUUCUGGUUGGUUUCUACUGUCCGAUAUUGUAGCACGCUAACUUUGUUUGGGCUCCUGAACGACACGGGGGAGCAGCGUCUGCCUCACAACCAAUCAGGUUAGAGGAGGUGGAGAACGGCUUUGUUUACAGUCAGAAAGAGCGGACCGCUCAAAAAUGUUCAAAUGUUGACGACACAGACAGAAGAGAACACAGAGAUAUCGAUAUAUUACCAAAUGUCAUCAAUAACUAAUAACUAUUGACUGAUAUUAAAAGAUUUAUUGUAUAAACACCACAAAAAAGGCUUCUUUAACAGAUUCCUGCCUUCUCCACCUUUAAGUCUUUAUUUUAACUUGUUUUACUUUUAUAAAAUCUCUUUAAACCUCCAGAUUUCCAACCUCGGAUGUUUGGAUUUGUUUCUUUUUAGUAUAACAGCUCUGAUAAGGUCUAAAUUGAUCCUUUAUGCUUGUACCUUUUUCACAGCAUGAUCAUUUUAAAGGUGAAUAAAUCUGUUAAAUAUAUAUAUAUAUAUUGGCUGUAUUUCGAUGAUGUUUGUUAUUAUAAUUUUAGGCACAUAUGGGAGAAAACAAACGUUCUUUCUACAUGUGGAACAGUUUCUAUUGGUCACAGCAGACAUGUGACUGUGAAUCUAGAUGUUAUCUACAGCAGCUGAAGCAGCCGAGGGUCCAAAGUGUCGACAGAGAGGAACAGUUUUUAUUUCCAUGUUCACUGAAUGUUAUAGAGGGAGGGCAGCAUUCUUCCUGUGACUGACGGUGAGUAGAAAGUAUUCUCUGAGUAUGAUCAAUAAUUUCAUACAAACAAAUAAAUACCGUACUUAGCAGUAAACACUCUUCCUAAUCUUGAAGUUUAAGUGUAGCCGCAGCAGAUUACGAUCAAGGUGGACUAUGUGAAGCAUUUAUAAAUAAGUCUAAAAACACUUUACUCUGUCUGUAUUUGGUUUGAAGUCACAGUUACAGCUUUAGUUUGAGAGUACAUGACGAAAACAAACAGUGAAAAACAGUCGAAAUGAAGAGUCCAACUGUUUAUUUAUCAUGGAACAAAAAAAACAGAGGAAAAAGGACUCAAAAGCAGAACGAAGGAUUUAAUUAAAAAGAACAAAAUGUAAAAAAAAAAAAAUUUAAAACGUUCUUCAAAAUGUCAAAAAACUGAAAAAUCCAAGAAGUACUGCGAAAACAAACAAAAAAAAACAGGGAGAAAAGGGAAAGACACACACUGACUAACAAACACACACACACAACAAGCAGCAGGUGAGACUGAUGAGUGAUUAACAAAAGGAGGGAAAACUACAGAAGUAAAACCAGACUAGAAACACAAGGAAUCAACUCCUACAAAAUAAAACAGGAAAUAAAAACUGAUCUAAAGAGUAAAACACAGAGAACAGGAGGGAAACAGGGUCAAACUGGAAACUCACAAGACUGGACUACAGGGGAAAAUACACAAAAUACACUCAGAUAACAAAACCAGGAGAAAACUACGUUCACAGAAAAUAUCAGGACAUUAUAAUUCUUUUAAAGUGCUGCUAAACAUGGAGAUGAUGUUUAGAUUAUUGUAACACCAUCACAGAUUAGAGAUGAUAGAAUUAAUCAUGUUUCCUGUUUUUUAAUGAUUAUUGUGAACAGGUGUUGGAGGAUUAGAGUUUCAGGCUUUUUACUUAGAUUUCCUCUCCAAACAGCAGAAUUUCCCCUUUCCUCUAAAUCAGCUCAUUUUAUCUCUUCUAACCCUGUUCUCCUCAAUGACAGAGCAGGGGGGCUUAUUUACCUCCUGUCCACUAGGGGGCGAUAAAGAACCUGGACGCUGUGGUUUUUAACCUGCAGUGUUCUUUCAAGAAGAGGAAGAGUUGGAUGAAAACAAACUUGAGUCACUCUGGAUUAGUUUUUACAGACUCGGUCAAACCUUACUUUGUGAGGAAAUUAACUCACAAACAAAUUUAACGGAAUUAUCGUCCGUGUUAAAAUUCAUGAGAGGCAGAGACGACACUCUUCGAGGAAACCCGAGAAAGACGUCUGAGAGGACAAAAAGUACACUGAUAUGUAUGUAUCUAUACAUAUACAUACAUAUAUGUA